GAUGAACGCCGGCGGUGUGCCUAAUACAUGCAAGUCGAGCGCACUGGCCCAACUGAUAUGACGUGCUUGCACUGAAUUGACGUUGGAUUACCAGUGAGCGGCGGACGGGUGAGUAACACGUGGGCAACCUGCCCUGAAGUGGGGGAUAACAUCUGGAAACAGAUGCUAAUACCGCAUAACAACGAAAACCACAUGGUUUUCGUUUCAAAGAUGGUUUCGGCUAUCACUUCAGGAUGGGCCCGCGGUGCAUUAGCUAGUUGGUAAGGUAACGGCUUACCAAGGCAAUGAUGCAUAGCCGAGUUGAGAGACUGAUCGGCCACAAUGGAACUGAGACACGGUCCAU
rnacentral:rRNA from 1 species